UACGUAGGGACCAAGCGUUGUUCGGAUUUACUGGGCGUAAAGGGCGCGUAGGCGGCGCGGUAAGUCACUUGUGAAAUCUCUGAGCUUAACUCAGAACGGCCAAGUGAUACUGCAGUGCUAGAGUGUGGAAGGGGCAAUCGGAAUUCUUGGUGUAGCGGUGAAAUGCGUAGAUAUCAAGAGGAACACCUGCGGCGAAGGCGGGUUGCUGGGCUGACACUGACGCUGAUGCGCGAAAGCUAGGGGAGCGAACGGG
rnacentral:rRNA from 1 species